GAUGAACGCUAGCGGCAGGCUUAACACAUGCAAGUCGAGGGGCAGCGCGGGUAGCAAUACCUGGCGGCGACCGGCAAACGGGUGCGGAACACGUACGCAAUCUGCCCUUACCCGGAGCAUAGCCCGAAGAAAUUCGGAUUAACUCUCCAUAAGAUAGUAAAAUGGCAUCAUUUAGCUAUUAAAAUUUAUUGGGUAAGGAUGAGCGUGCGUCCCAUUAGCUAGUUGGUAGGGUAACGGCCUACCAAGGCGACGAUGGGUAGCUGGUGUGAGAGCACGACCAGCCACACGGGCACUGAGACACGGGCCCGACUCCUACGGGAGGCAGCAGUGAGGAAUAUUGGUCAAUGGACGCAAGUCUGAACCAGCCAUGCCGCGUGAAGGAUGAAAGGCCUUCUGGGUUGUAAAACUUCUUUUAUGUGGGAAGAAACCUCUGAUUUCUAUUAGAGUUGACGGUACCAUAGGAAUAAGCACCGGCUAAACUCCGUGCCAGCAGCCGCGGUAA
rnacentral:rRNA from 1 species